rnacentral:rRNA from 1 species
CAUGCAAGUCGAACGCUUUGUGCUUAAUUGAUAUGACGAGCUUGCUCUGAUUUGAUUUUUUGAUUUCAAAGAGUGGCGAACGGGUGAGUAACACGUGGGUAACCUACCUCUUAGCAGGGGAUAACAUUUGGAAACAAGUGCUAAUACCGUAUAAUACCAACAACCGCAUGGUUGUUGGUUGAAAGAUGGUUCUGCUAUCACUAAGAGAUGGACCCGCGGUGCAUUAGCUAGUUGGUAAGGUAAUGGCUUACCAAGGCAAUGAUGCAUAGCCGAGUUGAGAGACUGAUCGGCCACAAUGGGACUGAGACACGGCCCAUACUCCUACGGGAGGCAGCAGUAGGGAAUCUUCCACAAUGGGCGCAAGCCUGAUGGAGCAACGCCGCGUGUGUGAUGAAGGGUUUCGGCUCGUAAAACACUGUUAUAAGAGAAGAACGGCACUGAGAGUAACUGUUCAGUGUGUGACGGUAUCUUACCAGAAAGGAACGGCUAAAUACGUGCCAGCAGCCGCGGUAAUACGUAUGUUCCAAGCGUUAUCCGGAUUUAUUGGGCGUAAAGCGAGCGCAGACGGUUAUUUAAGUCUGAAGUGAAAGCCCUCAGCUCAACUGAGGAAUUGCUUUGGAAACUGGAUGACUUGAGUGCAGUAGAGGAAAGUGGAACUCCAUGUGUAGCGGUGAAAUGCGUAGAUAUAUGGAAGAACACCAGUGGCGAAGGCGGCUUUCUGGACUGUAACUGACGUUGAGGCUCGAAA